AGAGUUUGAUCCUGGCUCAGGAUGAACGCUGGCGGCGUGCUUAACACAUGCAAGUCGAACGGUGAAGCAGAGCUUGCUCUGUGGAUCAGUGGCGAACGGGUGAGUAACACGUGAGCAAUCUGCCCCUGACUCUGGGAUAAGCGCUGGAAACGGCGUCUAAUACUGGAUACGAGCUUCCACCGCAUGGUGAGUUGUUGGAAAGAUUUUUCGGUCAGGGAUGAGCUCGCGGCCUAUCAGCUUGUUGGUGAGGUAAUGGCUCACCAAGGCGUCGACGGGUAGCCGGCCUGAGAGGGUGACCGGCCACACUGGGACUGAGACACGGCCCAGACUCCUACGGGAGGCAGCAGUGGGGAAUAUUGCACAAUGGGCGCAAGCCUGAUGCAGCAACGCCGCGUGAGGGACGACGGCCUUCGGGUUGUAAACCUCUUUUAGCAGGGAAGAAGCGAAAGUGACGGUACCUGCAGAAAAAGCGCCGGCUAACUACGUGCCAGCAGCCGCGGUAAUACGUAGGGCGCAAGCGUUAUCCGGAAUUAUUGGGCGUAAAGAGCUCGUAGGCGGUUUGUCGCGUCUGCUGUGAAAUCCCGAGGCUCAACCUCGGGCCUGCAGUGGGUACGGGCAGACUAGAGUGCGGUAGGGGAGAUUGGAAUUCCUGGUGUAGCGGUGGAAUGCGCAGAUAUCAGGAGGAACACCGAUGGCGAAGGCAGAUCUCUGGGCCGUAACUGACGCUGAGGAGCGAAAGGGUGGGGAGCAAACAGGCUUAGAUACCCUGGUAGUCCACCCCGUAAACGUUGGGAACUAGUUGUGGGGUCCAUUCCACGGAUUCCGUGACGCAGCUAACGCAUUAAGUUCCCCGCCUGGGGAGUACGGCCGCAAGGCUAAAACUCAAAGGAAUUGACGGGGACCCGCACAAGCGGCGGAGCAUGCGGAUUAAUUCGAUGCAACGCGAAGAACCUUACCAAGGCUUGACAUAUACGAGAACGGGCCAGAAAUGGUCAACUCUUUGGACACUCGUAAACAGGUGGUGCAUGGUUGUCGUCAGCUCGUGUCGUGAGAUGUUGGGUUAAGUCCCGCAACGAGCGCAACCCUCGUUCUAUGUUGCCAGCACGUAAUGGUGGGAACUCAUGGGAUACUGCCGGGGUCAACUCGGAGGAAGGUGGGGAUGACGUCAAAUCAUCAUGCCCCUUAUGUCUUGGGCUUCACGCAUGCUACAAUGGCCGGUACAAAGGGCUGCAAUACCGCGAGGUGGAGCGAAUCCCAAAAAGCCGGUCCCAGUUCGGAUUGAGGUCUGCAACUCGACCUCAUGAAGUCGGAGUCGCUAGUAAUCGCAGAUCAGCAACGCUGCGGUGAAUACGUUCCCGGGUCUUGUACACACCGCCCGUCAAGUCAUGAAAGUCGGUAACACCUGAAGCCGGUGGCCUAACCCUUGUGGAGGGAGCCGUCGAAGGUGGGAUCGGUAAUUAGGACUAAGUCGUAACAAGGUAGCCGUACCGGAAGGUGCGGCUG
rnacentral:rRNA from 1 species